rnacentral:rRNA from 1 species
AUGGAGUUGAUUUUGACAGUUGCAGUUUUGAUCUGGGUCUUGUUUACUCGAGCAAGAUUUCAUUGCCGUGAAGUUUCUGUAGGUUUGAUUAUAUGCCUGUUAUUUUACGUUUCUGUGUUUCUCAGUUGCUUGGAGCUUCCAUUUUGUUGGUGGCACUACCGCUCUUACAGCUCUCUCUUCUUUUUUAUGGGUAGUCUGGCCAGCAAAGAGAGAGAGGAGAGGGCGAUUCCAGCCUUACUGUGCCCUUUACCUAGCCAAUGGUACUCCACCCGAAAGACGUUGUUUUCUACUCCUUCGGCUCUUUAUUCAACCAACCUCUUUAAACUCAGCAGCCGACAUAGCUUGCCCCGCGCCUCGUCUUAA